CCCUUAGAUGUUCUGGGCCGCACGCGCGCUACACUGAUGCAUUCAACGAGUUUCUUCCUGGUCCGAGAGGAAUGGGUAACCUUUUGAAAGUGCAUCGUGAUAGGAAUAGACUAUUGCAAUUAUUGGUCUUCAACGAGGAAUUCCUAGUAGACGUAGUUCAUCAGACUGCAUCGAUUACGUCCCUGCCCUUUGUACACACCGCCCGUCGCUCCUACCGAUUGAAUGCUCAGGUGAGCCAUUCGGACUUUCAUCAUGCUGGUUUCCAGUUUUGAUGAAGGAAAGUCUUGCGAACCUUAUCAUUUAGAGGAAGGAGAAGUCGUAACA
rnacentral:rRNA from 1 species